rnacentral:rRNA from 1 species
AUUGAACGCUGGCGGCAUGCUUUGCACAUGCAAGUCGAACGGUAACAGGCCGCAAGGUGCUGACGAGUGGCGAACGGGUGAGUAAUGCAUCGGAACGUGCCCAGUCGUGGGGGAUAACGCAGCGAAAGCUGUGCUAAUACCGCAUAAGAUCUACGGAUGAAAGCAGGGGACCGCAAGGCCUUGCGCGAACGGAGCGGCCGAUGGCAGAUUAGGUAGUUGGUGGGAUAAAAGCUUACCAAGCCGACGAUCUGUAGCUGGUCUGAGAGGACGACCAGCCACACUGGGACUGAGACACGGCCCAGACUCCUACGGGAGGCAGCAGUGGGGAAUUUUGGACAAUGGGCGAAAGCCUGAUCCAGCCAUGCCACGUGCAGGAUGAAGGCCUUCGGGUUGUAAACUGCUUUUGUACGGAACGAAAAGGCUCUGGUUAAUACCUGGGGCUCAUGACGGUACCGUAAGAAUAAGCACCGGCUAACUACGUGCCAGCCGCCGCCGUAACAC